rfam:Alkhurma virus, complete genome
ACGACGAACUGUGGCAGCACACCAUUUGGUGACGGGAAGCUGGUCGCUCCCGACGCAGGCCGUCGUAAGAACUUUGUGAGACCAAAG